rnacentral:lncRNA from 1 species
UGCCGGCUGGCCGGGCGCACGUGUGCGCGGGUGCGGAGGGGCGCGGAGCCCCCGGCCUUGCGCAGCCCCCGCGCCCGGCACCCGCGCUGCUUCACGGCGAGGGCUGCGGAACAGAAGGGAAAAAGGAAAGAGGAAAGAAAGAAAAAGGGAAAGAAGAAGAAAAAAGGAAAAAGGGAAAGAAAAAAGAGAAAGAAAAAGGGAAAGAAAAAAGAAAGAAAAAGAGAAAGAAAAAGAAAGAAAAAGGGAAAGAAAAAGGAAAAAGAAAAGGAAAGAAAAAGGGAAAGAAAAAGAAAAAAGAAAAGGAAAGAAAAAGGGAAAGAAAAAGAAAAAGGGAAAGAAAAAAGAAAGAAAAAGGGAAAGAAAAAGAAAGAAAAAGGGAAAGAAAAAGAAAGAAAAAGGGAAAGAAAAAGAAAAAGGAAAGAAAAAGGGAAAGAAAAAGAAAGAAAAAGGGAAAGAAAAAGAAAAAGGAAAGAAAAAGGGAAAGAGAGAGAAAAAAGAAAAAGGGAAAGAGAAAGAAGAAAAGGAAAGAAAAAGGGAAAGAAAAAGAAAAAAGAAAAGGAAAGAAAAAGGGAAAGAAAAAAGAAAAGAAAAAGGGAAAGAGAAAAGAAAGAGAAAGGGAAAGAGAAAAAACAAAAAGGGAAAGAAAAAGAGAAAGAAAAAGGGAAAGAGAAAGAAAAAAAGAAAAAGGGAAAGAAAAAAGAGAAAGAGAAAGGGAAAGAGAAAGAAAAAAGAAAAAGGGAAAGAAAAAAGAGAAAGAAAAAGGGAAAGAAAAAGGGAAAGAAAAAAGAAGGAAAAGGGAAAGAAAAAGGAGAAAGAAAAAGGGAAACAAAAAGAAAAAAGAAAAGUAAAGAAAAAGAGGAAGAAAAAGGGAAACAAAAAAACAAAAGGGAAAGAAAAAAGAGUGCCCCAAGGAUACCUUUAGCCCCUUCCCCAGCCCGAGUCCGGGGCCGCUCCCCCCCGCGCCCCUCCUGCGAUGGCAGAGGAAAGGCCGCAGCCGCCCAGGCCCUGUCUGAGGCAGACUGA